rnacentral:lncRNA from 1 species
GCCUUUAUUCCACUUUUUCCCCUUUUAUUCAAUUUUUUCCCCAUUUUUCCCCAUUAUUCCCUCUUUUCUCCCCUUUUCCCCCCAUUUUUCCUUUGUAUUUUUGCUUUUCCCCACCUCAUUUUCCCUUUUUCCUCUCCUUUUCCCCCUUCUGCUUUCUUCUAUUUUCCUCCUCUUUACCUUUUUUUCUUUUUGCCCUUUUUCCUCCUUUUUCUCCCCAUUUUUCCUUUCCCCCUUUCCCUCCUGUUUUUCCCCUUUUCCCCCCAUUUUAUCAUUUUCUCCCUCAAUUUUCUCCCUCAAUUUUCUCCCAUUUUCCCCCAAUUUUUUCCCAUUUUCCCCCUAUUUUCCCAUUUCCCCCAAUUUUCCCCAUUUCCCCAAUUUCCCAAUUUCCCAAUUUCCCCAAUUUCCCCAUUCCCCCUAUAUUUUCUCAUUCUCCCCAAUUUCCCCAUUUUCCCCAAUUUCCCCAAUUUUCCCCCUUUUUCCCCCAUUUUUCUUUCUCUCCUGGCGCCGCUCGGAACCAACCCAACAAAAACCCCCCAAAACGCCCCAAAACGCCCCAAAAGCAGCGAAAAUCCCGGGAAUUUUCCCCCCUCGGGCUCCGCCGCUCCUCGCUCUCCUGGGGCGCCAAGAAAUCCACAAAAACCGCGGGGUUUUGGUCCAUUUUAUUCCAUUUAUUUCCAUUUUUCCCCCCAAUUUCCCCCCUCCCGUUCCACCCAAUCCUCCGGACGGAAUUCCCGGGGCAUAAAUUCCAUUUUUUUUUUUGGUGUAAAAAAUCCUCUUUUCGAGGCAAAGCGGGGCUGCCCUUUGUGCUCGCUGCAAAAACAAAAACCCCCAACCCACCCCUGACCCUUUUUCCCCCUUUUCCCACCCAAAAUCCCCUUUUUUUUUUCCCAUUUUCCCCCUUUUCCAGCCCAUUUCUGAGCCCUCCGGCCUCGCUUUUUUUUUCAACAUUUAGCGGGCGAAACUCCUCAAAACCACCGAAACCACCCCAAAAUUUUGGUUCAUUUUUGGUUGUUUUUUUUUUUUUUUCCUGCUUGUUUUUCCCCAAAUGAUUUUUUU